rnacentral:misc_RNA from 1 species
AAGUCGUAACAAGGUUUCCGUAGGUGAACCUGCGGAAGGAUCAUUAUUGAAAGUAAAAUGUAGUUGGUUGAGCUGGUCUUUCUGGGACAUGUGCUUACCUUCUGCGCUUUCUUACCUUUCCACCUGUGCACAUUUGUAGACCGUGAAUAGACUCUCGCCUUAAACAAGCGGAUUUGAAGCUCGCAUGAAAGUGCUUGCUUCUACAUAUUCUCAGGUCUAUGUUUCAUACACACUUAAAACACAUCGAAUGUUUGUUUACUGGUUGUAAUAGACCUCUAAAUUAAAUACAACUUUCAGCAACGGAUCUCUUGGCUCUC